rnacentral:rRNA from 1 species
AAUAGAUACCCUGGUAGUCCACGCCGUAAACGAUGAGUGCUAAGUGUUAGAGGGUUUCCACCCUUUAGUGCUGCAGCUAACGCAUUAAGCACUCCGCCUGGGGAGUACGGCCGCAAGGCUGAAACUCAAAGGAAUUGACGGGGGCCCGCACAAGCGGUGGAGCAUGUGGUUUAAUUCGAAGCAACGCGAAGAACCUUACCAGGUCUUGACAUCCUCUGCCAACCCUAGAGAUAGGGCGUUCCCCUUCGGGGGACAGAGUGACAGGUGGUGCAUGGUUGUCGUCAGCUCGUGUCGUGAGAUGUUGGGUUAAGUCCCGCAACGAGCGCAACCCUUGAUCUUAGUUGCCAGCAUUCAGUUGGGCACUCUAAGGUGACUGCCGGUGACAAACCGGAGGAAGGUGGGGAUGACGUCAAAUCAUCAUGCCCCUUAUGACCUGGGCUACACACGUGCUACAAUGGAUGGUACAAAGAGCUGCGAACCCGCGAGGGUAAGCGAAUCUCAUAAAGCCAUUCUCAGUUCGGAUUGU